GACGAACGCUGGCGGCGUGCUUAACACAUGCAAGUCGAACGAAGUGGCGAACGGGUGAGUAACGCGUAAACAACCUGCCCUUCAGAGGGGGACAACAGUUGGAAACGACUGCUACUACCGCAUACGGAUGGAGGGGAUUGCGUCGGAUUAGCUAGUUGGAGGGGUAACGGCCCACCAAGGCGAGUAUCAGUAGCCGGGCUGAGAGGUAGUACGGCCACAUUGGGACUGAGACACGGCCCAGACUCCUACGGGAGGCAGCAGUGGGGAAUCGUCCGCAAUGGAGGAAAGUCUGACGGAGCAAAGCGGCGUGAGUGAGGACGGGCUUCGGGUUGUAAAGCUUUGUUAAUCGGGACGCGGUACCGGAAUAGAAAGCCACGGCUAACUACGUGCCAGCAGCCGCGGUAAUAC
rnacentral:rRNA from 1 species